CUGCUGAGGCAGCUGAGGUAGCACAUAUACUACAAUUCUAACAGUACAAAGAAGACAAGAACGGUCCUUUACAAGGAUGAAACGCUAAUUCAUAAAGCAUUCCACAUUUGA
rnacentral:snRNA from 1 species